CUCAAGAGCUUAAGUACAUAAAAAUUGUAUAACUUUACAUUUAAAACUAAAUUUAUAAUGGAGAAGGUAUAUAACUAAAAUAAAAUUUUUAGUUAUUUUGAAAAUCAGUAGAUUCAACUGUUGUAGCAGAUAGGCAGUAAUCUAAUAGUUCUGGAUAAAAUGACUGAUAUGCAUUCUCUGCAAACUACACACAUCCUAUAAACGGUAUGUUUUUUUAUGUUUAGAGUUUUAGUGUUGGUGUUGUUCG
rnacentral:misc_RNA from 1 species